rnacentral:lncRNA from 1 species
UUUACUUCAAGAGAUAUUUAUAUUCCAUUGAGAUGAAGGAAAUCAAAGAUAAUAUUAAACUUUUAGAUAUAACCUACCAGUGUAAGGGUUUUUCUAAAGUAAACAGCAUUUUAAAUCUCCAUGGUAACCUGUGACGAUGUAAAAACUUUAAAUCAUUACAAGCCAGAGAGAGCGGUCAUUUCUGAGGAUCAAAUCUGAAGAGAACAGCACGGAAAACUUAAGUGGCUCACGAACUUACAACUUUUGACGGCUUCAUCAUAAAUAAAACCUCACCAGACGACUAAGGACUCCGGCAAACACCUUCGAGAAACACCUGAACAAAGAGGACAACAUCUACGACAUGGAGACCGUAAGAUUUCAUGAUAAUAUUAUCAUACAAACUUGUGUUACUGUCGAGACUUUCGUGAUGCAUCGACAAGAAUUAAAUGUGUGCAUGGAUAUUUACAGUGUUUAUGACUUUAAUGUGACAGGCAUUAUCAAAAUUAACCGAAAAUAAGUGAACAUAGGCGUUUUUUUUGUGUGUGUUACUGUCGAGACGUUCGAAUGGUUAGCUUAAAAGUGAUGCAUUGACAUCACAUGAAAGUCCUGCCCACCAUGUCAAAGACUCUUUGUGCUUAAGAGCAGAAAAGCUCAUGUUAUUGUGCGAAAUCUCUCUAAGAGAUUUUUUAUGUCUUCUGGGCUAUUUAAAGCCGUCAGUCUGAAACUUAUUUGACAGUUUCUCCUUAUACUAACCAAUGCUAUCAGGUGAAAACUAUAAACACAAGCAAUUUUCACACGUAUUACAGCGAAAGAGGCACAUUAAAGGAGUGAAAUGUGGUGUUAAAAUAAGGGACACCUUCAUAACUUUAAAGAAUGACAGUCAUCAUAAAAUUCGACAAAAUAAACUAAAAAGACAUAAUAGUUAGACCUAUUUAUAAAUGCUCUAAUAGGCCUAGGUAACCAAAAAAAUCCUAUGAAUUACAUUUGAACCUAUUUAAAAAGUUACAAAACAGACAAAAUUAAGUUAAAAGUAAUGUCUUAUGUACAGCCUUUAAAAUGAAGAGUUCGAUAAUGUUCCACUGAAAUAUGUUUUCAUGUUUUCAUGGAUCAAGUGUGUGUGUUUUUCUACCACAAUAUUUAAAAUUUCAAUUAUGGGAAAAAUUCACUAAGUGUUAUCGAACCACUGUACUUUUGUGGAAGUCAGUUUUUUAUCAAACUGAAAACAGAGGAUUUUCUUAUUUAAUCCUGAAAAAGUCUUUUUCCCAAUAAAAUAAAAUGACUGAAAUAGACAUACCAAAAAUAUAAAUUCUUAAUAGUGGGUGUUGCAUUGAUGUUAAUCUAUUUCUAUUGCACAAUUAACCUGCUGAUUAGAGACUAAAUUCAAAUUAAAAUGUAUUGACUGUCUCUUCUUGAUGAUACUGAUGUUACAGAUGCUUCCUUCAUGACCUUGACCACACAGUCAAAUGUUUCAGCUUGUUUAAUUUAAAUGUCUGUGUUGUUUCUGUCUUCAGACCAGCCGACGCUUCACACGGACUUGGUCCUUGUGCACAGCUUCCACUGGUCCUGUCCCAAGCCGAUCUUGAAGAGGGUCGUGGCAACACCCAUGUCCCGUUCCAAGCCAAGCUGUGUAAGUAGGAAACCACACUGACAACAUAGAUUGGCCAUUAGCAUGCCCUCAAAACAACGUACAAAACUUUUAUAGUCUGAAUGAUUUUAAUUACAGAAAUAUGUUUAUGAAUUUGUCUUUUUUAAUUUUAAUUUUCUUUAACAUUAAUUUAUUUCAAAGAUGUGAAACCUUCCCCUGGAAAAAUAAUUUCUGCAGACUUCAGAUUUUAUAAUUUGUUGGUUUUUCUGUCUCAGGUCCGAGUGUAGCAGUACAGCCUCGUCCAGAACCAGGAUAAGUCCACUCCUCGGCUGUUACUGAGGAAGGUCCCACCGAUGUUCGGCCCUCCACGUUUCUCCUCCCCCAAGCUCAACCAGGUAAGUCACUCUCACUCCUCUUCUGUCUCUCCCUCUUUCUUUCCCUCUCCUCCUGUCUCUCAAAGAAAAAAAGAAAAAAGAAAGAAAAAAAAAAGAAAAAAGAAAAAAGAAAGAAAAAAGAAAAAAGAAAGAAAGAAAGAAAAAAGAAAAAGGAAAAAAGAAAGAAAAAAAGAAAAAAGAAAGAAAGAAAAAAGAAAGAAAGAAAAAAGAAAGAGAAAAAAAGAAAAAAGAAAAAAGAAAGAAAGAAAAAAAAGAUAAAAAGAAAAAAGAAAGAAAAAAGAAAAAAAGAAAAAAGAAGGAAAAAAGAAAGAAAAAAGAAAGAAAGAAAAGAAAGAAAAAAGAAAAAACAAGAAAGAAAGAAAAAAAGAGAAAAAAAGAAAAAAGAAAGAAAAAAGAAAAAAGAAAGAAAGAAAAAAGAAAGAAAAAAGAAAAAAGAAAGAAAAAAAGAAAGAAAAAAGAAAAAACAAGAAAGAAAGAAAAAAGAAAGAAAAAAAGAAAAAAGAAAGAAAAAAGAAAGAAAGAAAAAAGAAAGAAAAAAGAAAAAACAAAAGAAUGGACCUCGGUCCUUAUGCAAAGCUUCCACUGGUCCUGUCCCAGGCUGAUCUUGAAGAGGGUCGCGGCAACACCCAUGUCCCGUUCCAAGCCUCGCUGUGUAAGUAGGAAACCACACUGACAACAUAGAUAGGCCAUUAGCAUGCCCUCAAAACAACGUACAAAACUUUUAUAGUCUGAAUGAUUUUAAUUACAGAAAUAUGUUUAUGAAUUUGUCUUUUUUAAUUUUAAUUUUCUUUAACAUUAAUUUAUUUCAAAGAUGUGAAACCUUCCCCUUGAAAAAUAAUUUCUGGAGACUUCAGAUUUUAUAAUUUGUUGGUUUUUCUGUCUCAGGUCCGAGUGUAGCAGUACAGCCUCGUCCAGAACCAGGAUAAGUCCACUCCUCGGCUGUUACUGAGGAAGGUCCCACCGAUGUUCAGCCCCUCACGUUUCUCCUCCCCCAAGCUCAACCAGGUAAGUCACUCUCACUCCUCUUCUGUCUCUCCCUCUUUCUCUCCCUCUCCUCCUGUCUCUCAAAGAAAAAAAGAAAGAAAAAAGAAAGAAAAAAAGAAAAAAGAAAGAAAAAAAGAAAAAAAAGAAAGAAAGAAAAAAGAAAAAACAAGAAAGAAAGGAAAAAUAAAAAAGAAAGAAAAAAAAAAAGAAAGAAAAAAAGAAAAGAAAGAAAAAAGAAAGAAAGAAAAAAGAAAAAAAAGAAAGAAAAAAAGAAAAAAGAAAGAAAGAACGGACCUCGGUCCUUGUGCAAAGCUUCCACUGGUCCUGUCCCAGGCCGAUCUUGAAGAGGGUCGCGGCAACACCCAUGUCCCGUUCCAAGCCUCGCUGUGUAAGUAGGAAACCACACUGACAACAUAGAUAGGCCAUUAGCAUGCCCUCAAAACAACGUACAAAACUUUUAUAGUCUGAAUGAUUUUAAUUACAGAAAUAUGUUUAUGAAUUUGUCUUUUUUAAUUUUAAUUUUCUUUAACAUUAAUUUAUUUCAAAGAUGUGAAACCUUCCCCUGGAAAAAUAAUUUCUGCAGACUUCAGAUUUUAUAAUUUGUUGGUUUUUCUGUCUCAGGUCCGAGUGUAGCAGUACAGCCUCGUCCAGAACCAGGAUAAGUCCACUCCUCGGCUGUUACUGAGGAAGGUCACCGAUGUUCGGCCCUCCACGUUUCUCCUCCCCCAAGCUCAACCAGGUAAGUCACUCUCACUCCUCUUCUGUCUCUCCCUCUUUCUUUCCCUCUCCUCCUGUCUCUCAAAGAAAAAAAGAAAAAAGAAAGAAAAAAGAAAGAAAAAAAGAAAGAAAAAAAAGAAAGAAAGAAA